GCUUUUUCAACGUCUCAUCGAUCUCCUGGCGAACUUUGUCUUGUAUAUCCUGAUGUACAGCUAACUCAUACAGGCAGAACGUCGCCGUGGUCGACGAUGUUUCGAAGCCAGCUAUGAAGAAGACAAAGGCUUGUGCGGUCGCCUCCAGCAUGGUGGCCGAAAGUGCAUAUUCACAUGAUUGCUACAUAAGAGAGACACCACGUAUACGAAAUUUUUUACAACGUCGUCGCUGUGAAAAUAAAUAUAAGAUAUAUAUUUACAAGAUUUAUCGGCGUUGUCCCUAUUAUUGUCGUCAAGUUCAACGUAGCCUUUCUCCAUGAGUUGUAUAAGUAAAUUCAUAAAAUCGUGCCUUACGACGUUGUGAGUUUGCCUGUACUCCACAUUGUCACGGAAUAAUUUCGUGAAGAACUUGGUGACACCACGAUCCGUAGCAGGAAUGGAAAAGAAUUCCAAAAUUUCUGGUGCAAAUAUCCUCAUAGCGGACCAGAAAGGAUUUAAUUCGAAAAAUUUCUUUCCCCAGUAUCGAUAUUCAUUAUUCGCCUCAACUAAGCAGUUGGACUUUAUUCCCAAUGCAGUUGACAUAAUUAUAUCCGUCGUGUAUCUAUUGUUAUUGGAUACAUUGUUUUGUUAAGUUCUAAUAUACAAUAAUUUGCGUAAUGAUGUAAAUAAACGAAUAAUUGCGGCAAGAGUUUAUUCCAAUUGCUUACGGAUGCGAGCUCGUUAAUCAAGUAUUGAUUAAAACAAGGAACAAACAAUUUAUAAUUAUAAUAUACCGUUUUUACAAGUUACUUUUUAAAUAAAGAUAUUUAUUCCUUUGUCUCAACAA